GGGAGGAGCCGCUGGGCCCCCGGACACGCGGUUCCUGCACAGACACUCUUCCGCGCCGCCGAAGGCGGCGGCGGUAGCUGCCGUUUACCAGCAGGAAAGUAUGAGAGGCCGGCAGGGGAGGAGGAAGGCGGCUCCCGCGCCGCGUUACCUGAUCAGAGCGGCGACCCUCAUGCUGGGCGCAGUACGCGUUAGCAAAGAUUUCAAAGAAGAAAAGCUGGUGAAGAUACCAAUGUCGGCAAGAAUACGGGGAAAGGAACAAUCUCAUGCUUGGUUACUGGAGAAUUUUGUUAUCUGUAAAAUGGGAUUAAAAUAUGAUCUACCACACCUAGUUGUUGUAAGAAUUAAAUUAAAUAGACCAUCAUAAUUACAUAGUCUAUUGUUAUUUUACAUAAAGAGAGAUCUGGAAAAAAAUCAUCAAUGUGUUGGUGGUGGCAGUCUUUGGGUGGUAAAAUUGAAUUGAAUUUUUGAUUCCAUAUAUAUACCUUUCUGUAUUGUUUUGGUUUUCUAAAAUUAAUACAAAUGUUUGUAAAUAAAGUCAAUGAUAGUUGGAAGAAGAGAUGAUUGGUAGAAUGGAAGGAGGGAAGGAAGAGAGAUGGGAUACCUGACUGCUUCAGGGUUGGUCUCACAGGGAGCCAAUUCUCUGAUGAAGUUACAGAAAAGUAUGAAGAGUAGAUCCAUAGAUCUUCAGCUCCAUAGAUUUUAGAAAUCAACUUUACUAUUUAUCCAAUGUAGACCAGAUGGUAGGGAACUGAUGGAAGCUACGUAGUUUCAUGGAGGACUCAUUAAUAAACCAGAAUGUAUAUGAGUCAGCUGAUUCUUUCGCCACUAGGAAAACACAAAUUAGAAAUAUUCUUUCAUCAAAACAUUGCUUGAUAAAUUAAAACCACAAUGAGAUACCACCACAUACCCACUAGAAUACCUGAAGUUAUAAAGACUAACAUUACUAAGUGUUGGCAAGGAUAUGGAUAAACCAAAACUUUAAUACACUGUUAGUAAGAAUACAAAAAUGGUACAGCCUCCUUGUAAGAGUUUGUCAGUACCAUAUAAAGCUAAGCAUAAUUUACCUUAUGACCCAGCAAUUCCAGUCCUAGGUAUUUACCCCAAAGAAAUAAACACAUGUGUCUAUGCAAAAAAAAAAAAAAAACAAAAAAAAAACAAUGUGAAUGUUUGUAGCAUUAUUUAUAAUAAGAAAAUGAAAGCAACCCAAUCUCCAUCAAGUGGUAAGUGGAUAAACAAAUUAUACCAUGGAAUAGCGCUCAGCGAUACACACAACAUGAACGAAUUUCAAAAACAAGCUACAGUGCGUUAAGUAUGAUUUCCUUGAUAUGAAAUUCUAGAAAAGGCAAAGCUACCAGUGACAGAAAGGGAAUCAGUGUUGCCUGGUGUCAGUGGUGAGGAGAGGUCAUUAAGGGCAAAAGGCCUUGAGGAGACAUUUUAGCGUGAAAGUGCUGUUCUACAUAUUGCUAGUAACAGUAGUUAUGCAAUUACCAAAAUUCAUCAAACUAUACAGUUAAAAUUGGUUAAAAUUUUUAUAUGUAAUUAAUACCUUAAAUUAUUGGUAAGUUACUGGUAAGGAUAGAGUUCAUUUUUAUUAUCUGAUAAAUUAUAUUCCAUUAAUUCACUUUCUCAAAAUGCGUAUCUGUAUAUGAAUGAGUAUAUGUACUAUAGGAAUUAAACUUUGAAGGAGACUAGAAUGUCUACAUCCAUUGGUGGAGACAUCCUUUUCUUUCAUUCUUUUCCCCCAGUAAUGGGAGUUCUGGAAUUCUAUAUCAAAGAUGUUUUAGGAGUGGCUAUGUAGUUAAAAGUGUGUUUGUAUAGUAAGCAUACUCGUAUUUAAGUUGUGAGUUUAUUUGAGGCUAGUGUUAGAUAUUAUAGAGGAGCUAAAGCCUCCUAAAUCAUCUUUAGUGGCACUUACAUUUUCGAGUAUUGUAUUGAUGUCAGGCACUAGUCAGUUAUAAAUAUAUGAAAGAAAAUUUGCAUUACACAUUAAUAUUAUAAGCAGCAUACUUUAAAACUUUGCCUGAAGGGUAAGACUUUAUUUCUGCAGAUAGUUAAUUUCUUCACUAUUCUGUUUUUCUUCUGAUUGAUGAGUUUUACUAGAUUCAAUUUCAUAGAGAAGGAUAACAGUAAUGUAUAUGUUGAUUUUAUUGCCAAAUUCUGACAAUUAUUUACAUUUAGACCCUUCAUCCCUUUCAAGUCUUCAUGUGUAUAUUCAACCAUUUUAAAUGUAGUACCAACUCAGUGUUUAUCCUGUGUCCUUUUUAUGGACUUCUGACCAUAUCAAAGGUUGAAAAGGUAUUCCAAUAUUUUCCUAAAAAUAUGUUUUGGAGUCGGCUUACCUGAAUUUGAAUUUUGGUUCUGAGAUAUUGGUUCGUAAUUUCAGCAAGAUGUUUUUCCUUGAUCUGUAAAAGAGGCAUAUCUAUGCUUACCUUAUGAAAUGAAGAUUAAAUGUAUAUAAAUGCACUAGUCAUGGGGCGCCUGGGUGGGUCAGUUGGUUGAGCAACUGACUUUGGCUCAGGUCAUGAUCUCAUGGUCUGUGAGUUCAAGCCCCAUGUCAGGCUCUGUGCUGACAACUCAGAGCCUGGAGCCUGUUUCUGGUUCUGUGUCUCCUCUCUCUGCUUCUCCCCUGCUUGUACUCUGUCUCUCUCUCUCUCUCUCUCUCUCUCUCAUAAAAAUGAGUAAACAUUAAAAAAAAUUUUUUUUAAUAAAUGCACUGGUCACAAUAUCUGUCACAUGCAAACUCUUAAGCAAACACUACAAAUGAUAGAACAAUAUUUAUAACAAGCCAUGAAGGAAUGAAGAUAAAUUCAUAUAAAAAUGUUCACUUAGUCCAAAAGGAGGUAAGAAAAAAAGAGUAAAAGGAGAAGAGAAAAAUGAAACAAAACAAUAAGCUGAUAGAUUUAAAUCUAACAAUAUCAGUAAUCACAUUAAAUGUCAAUGUCCAAACACUUAAAAUACAGGUUGAAAGAUUCAACAAGAAAGCAAGACCCGACUACCCUGUUUACAAAAAACACUGUUUAAAUAUGAAGUCAUAGACAAAUGAAAAGUAAAAGGAUGGAAAAAAGAUAUAUACUAUGCAAACACUGGUCAAAAAAAAGCUAUAUACAUAUAUAUGAGAAAAUGUAGAUUUCAGAGUAAGGAAUAAAAUUAGUCUCUCUGCUUCCUCAGAUCUCCAGUCCCCCAGAUCCCUUCCUGUGAGGCAACACAUUACCCAUUUUUCUGUAUCUUUCCAGAAUGAGUUUAUGAAUAUAUAAGCAUAUAUCACUUUUAUUUUUCACCAAGGGGAGCAUACUGUAGUCACUGUCGUCUACUUUGUUCUUCCAAAUAUAUCUAGGACAUUAUUCUGUAUCACUACAUAUGGAUUUAUCUCAUUCUUUUUAACUGCUGUAUGGUAAAGUAUAGGGGGAAAAAAGUAUUAACUAAACUAUGGUAAAGUCUGUUUUUUGGAAGGUCUCCAUCAAGAACACUAGUGCUCCAAAUUCUAGCUAACAUGGCUAAGUGAGACUCCUCCAAAAUAUGAUUGGGAUGUAACUAAUUUAAAGAACUCAGGACACCUGCAUCUCCAGCACAUUCAAACCUAAGGUCAAUAUCCUGAUAUGUCACACAUUCAAACCUAAGGUCAAUAUCCUGACAUGUUACACUCCCACUGAGUCACUCCAACUCACAUUUCUACCAGUUUGUUACUUUUUGAGGACACCAUCCUCCACCUACUUAGUAUUCAAGGUAAUUCUUAACUUCCCCUUCUCCCUGAUGUUUCCCCAGUCUGUAACCAAGUCUUACAGAUUGUACUCUCAAGGUGUCUCAAUAAGUUGGAGAUGGAUGAUGAAAUUCUUGAAGUUCAUUGUUACCUAUUCAAUGCACUGGAACUAAGACUAGUAUCUGCAUCCAGUUCCAAUCUCCAUUGCCAGAUGUUUUGUCUAUAAAAUUGCAUCAGAGGACUUAAGAUGUUUCUUAAGUGAUAAAUUGAUGUUUUUAAUAUUCCCUAUUCAAAAAGUUUAUUUCCAUAUUCUUUCUUUAUAAUUUUAUUUAUUGCUAUUCUUAUUUAGGAAGAUAUUUCGGUCUGGUGGGAUAUACAGUUUUAUAAUUAUAGUGUGGUAUUAUGGUUCUUCUUUUGACAAGCUCCAAGUACUUCAACAAGUUCUGUUUCAUAUAUCCUAAUAAUAUCCCUUUGAAAUAGGUUGAAGAAAAUAUUUUGUUUUCAAUUUACUAAUGAAAGAACGGAAACAGAUAUAUCAGGUGAUUAGUGCUUGGCUACGCAGUGUGUUAGUGACCAAGCUGGGACUGGAACCCAGGUUUCCUGACUUUCAAGCCAGAUUAUGUGUUUCAGAAUCAUAAAACUGUCUACUCUGUAAUUUUGAAAAAGUAAUGGUGUAUACUCUCACACAUUCUGAAUUUCUAGAGCUGUAAUAAUAAUCCGUUAAAAAAAGAAAACAAUCUUCCUUAGAGAAUCUCACUGGAAAGGAACAGUUCUCAAGAAAUGUAGAGAAUACAUAUUCAACCCCUGAUUUUCUUCAUUAAGCACUUCUCUGUGAAAUGAACUUAAAAUGUGAUGACAUCAGAUUCAAUAUUACACCUAUUUUUAUUCCCCUAAAAUAUUGUCCAAACAUAUAAAUGCCCUAGACUCUAAAUCAAUCAUUUGAAAGUGGCCGACCACAGCUUUGAAAAUAUUGGGAGCAUCAUAAACAUCAUGCCCAUCUGUCAUUUCUUUUUCAUCAUGGAACAUAUAUAGCCUACAAUCAUUCAGAGCAAUAUCUCAUGGCUCAGGUAAAGCCUUAUGAAUAACUUUCUCUGUUCAGCUGUGCAAUUCUGAGUAAUUAGAUGAAUUCAAAAGUCCAACAAACUAAAUUCUAAAAGGUGACUCAAUGGCAGCAGGAAUAGUUAAAUAAACUAGUUUAUUUUAAUGGAAAACCUGAUAUUUCUUUGAAGUAGAGCAAUUUGCAAGAAGAACUGGAAAAACUAGCAUAUGAAAGGAGAAUUUAAAGUUGGAGCAUUUUCUUUGCAAUUGUAGAAUACAUUAGAAUUUGAUUGAACAACGUUUUAUUUAUGGUCCUUUUCCCUUUGAGCUUUUAUUUCAUCAAUAAGAUUUCUGUAUGUUGGUGUUGUUUUUUGUAGAAAAUUUUAGUAGGUUACCAAAAUUUUAUUGUGUUUAGCAAUGUGUACAUUGGAUUAUGUGCUUACAUAUUUCUAAUAUUGUUUUUCAUUUCUCAUCUGUGUAUCUCAGCGCAUACACACAGGAUACAUACUCUGCACAUACCUGCAAGAUAAGUGAUAUUUGAAAAUUAUUUAAGUAUGAGGAAGGAGAACAUAUAUAGUUGGUAUGAUUUAAUUUAUCUACAAUAAAAAACAUGACAAAUGAAAUAGGUAAGAUUUUUAAGCAAGCAAAAUUUAGUAUAUAAACACUGAUGGAAUGAAAAUAAUAAGCGAUGUUUGAUGAUGAAUAGACAGUGAAUACUUAAAAUAAUUUAUCAUGAAAUUGGCAUUAUAAUUCUAGAAAUUAAACAAAAGAAUAUUCUUCUGUAUCUCCUUACAAACAUUUCUUUUAAUUUUUCCAUAUUUAAUUUUUUAAUUGUUUGCACAUACACACACAUAAUUUUAACAUAAUUAUUUUGAGUACAUGUAAUUUUGUAUUUUGACUUGGAAAAAUGAAUGCUUUUUAUAGGUAAGAAGUUCUUUGGAAAAUUGUAGUGGGUAUUAAUUUGAUUCAAUAUCUCAAAAUAUUGAUAAUAAAAAUAUUUAGGAAGAAUCUUUCUCUAAAAUCUCAAAUCUUUUUAAAAUAAAAGAUGGAGUGGGUAUCAGGGUGGCUCAGUCAGUUAAGCAUCCAACUUCAGCUCAGGUUAUCUCAUAAUUCGUGAGUUCGAGCCCCACAUCAGGCUUUAUGCAGACAGCUCAGAGCCUGGAGCCUGCUUCGGAUUCUGUGUCUCCCUCUCUCUCUGCCCUCCCCCUCCUCACGCUCUGUCUCUCUCUCAAAAAUAAAUAAACAUUAAAAAAAAAAAGAGAGAGAGAGAGAAAAAAAAGAUGGAGUUAUAAAUUAAUAAAGAACACAUAAAUUAACCUACCUGAUUUAUUUAUAGGAUUUUCUUUCUUUUUCUUUAUCACUGACUCCUUUGCCCCUCUCAGGCAAAAGGAAAUUUAUAUGUCCUUAAUUCUGCUCUCUUUUAAAAUGCAUAUGAAGUGUUGUCAUUCAGUUGAAAUAUUCUAAUGCUAUUAUUGCAGAAUACUAAUGUGUGUGAAUGGAUGGGAAUAUUUUGCCCAUGUAAGUUAGACCUAAUUGAAUAUUCAUUAUUAAUUUUGUAUCUUACAGAAAAGACUCUUGUUUCCUAAGGCUUAUCAAGACUUUUCAAGACUACCUGAUUUCCAUCCAUUGGCAAAAUUGCAUCUACUAGAUGUAGUAGCUUUUGUUACUGUUCACUAAAUUUUCUAGUUUCCUUCCCUAUGGAGUCCCUUGCUGAGAGACCAUCCAUUGCUGUUCAGUGAUCAUGUGAUUUGUUCUGGCCAAUGAAAUGAGCAGAGGUGACAGAAUUCACUUCAGGGAAGAACCCUUAAGAGCCAGCACACAGUUCUUUGAUCCUCUUUUCCCUGUUUCAAGAGACUGGCAAUCAUCAGUCAUUGCUCCAUAAGCCUAAGUCUUAAAACAGAGCCUUUAGCUGUUUAGGGAUGGACACUUACCAUCAUUGAGAAGUAAACCCUUCUUGUUGCAAACCACUGAGAUUUUAAAGAUCACUGAAAUUAGGAGGCCACUGAGUUAUCUCAAGGAAUAUGUAAUCCUGCCAAUUUACAUGAGCAGCAACCUGGCAAGCAUGUGUAGGAAUGGUUUCUAAAGGUGAUAGAUCAAAGAGAAUUAACUGUGAAAUUGAAUUAGGCAAAAUUUACCUUAUCCUAACACUUACAAAACUAGCAAUUUUUUUUUUUACUUGUAGUCACUUUUCAUGAUUCUCAAAUAGGGUUAGUUUACAGACCUCUUUGAUGCAAAGACACAGAAGACUGUAUUUGCCAAAACUUAAAUUCUCACAUACUUACUCUUGGCUAUGUGAUAUUUAACAUCUCAUACAGCAUUUCUUCCCAGAUAUGGGAGGCUAGGUAAGAUAUCCCUCCAGGCAGUGCCAUUGCAUCUUGUGCUUUCCAGUUAUAAUAUAUUAAAUGUCUAUUUUCCCUGCUACAAUCUUUGUUUCAUGAAGGCAAAGAAUGUCCUGUUCUAUUGUACCAGUCAGGCUAAUGGCAGGAAACUGGAAUUUGAAAGAAAUUGAAUGAAAGGACUUUUUUUGCGCGUUAUUGGCAAGAUUAAGUAAUCACCCAGAGAUGUUGAGGCACCCAGAAACUAGUAAUAUCAGGAAGAAAAUAAUAUCUGUAUGUCUGAAGGAAAGAAAAUGGUACAGUUAGAUUUUUUUGUAGACUAGAACAAUAGAACAACAAUAGAACAAUUGUUCUAUUGUAGAACAAUAGAAGUGGAGUCACUCAAUAGGAGCCGCAAUAAUACAUCAUACUUCCACAAUAGUACACCAAAAAAGGGAAAUCUCUGGGGAAGAAAUACCCUGGUCUCUUUCUCCAUCUCCUACCAGGAGCCUCCCACUGACUGAAUCUCACAGAAGGUCAGAGGAUGAGGAAGGCUGUUGAUACAGCUCACAGAGAUCAGCUCCUUACAGACAGAGAGCAAAGCAGAGAAGGAUGAAGGAUGGGACUUGGGAGGGCAGACAGAAGAAUGUACAUACCUCUUUAUUGAUACAUUUCCAGUUCCUGCUUGUUUGCCAUGUACAUAAGAAGUGCUUAAAGAUAUGUGAUGAAUGAAAGAAUGAAUAAUGAAAGGCAAAGUAAUCUGAAUGCUAAGAUGCAAGCUGCAUUUCUUAUUUUUUUAGGGAAUUAUUUUACUUCAACAGGUUGUUUUCUCAUUGAAUGUUGUCAUAAGGUCCUUUCAGUUAUUGGUAUUAAAUACUUAUAAACCACAUUUUGAACUCCUAUGAAGAACACCGAGAAGUAAAGUAACUGGGGAAGCAUUGUGAAAGAGAUCAUACUGGCAUGCAAAAAUGAAGUGGCUCAAUUUGAACAAGUUUAUUGAGAAGUUAAUUAAGUAAAAAGGGUAAGUCAUAAGACGUAAUUCAUGGUAUGCAGUGACAACACGAUUACUCAUGUAAUCGCUGGUAUUGAUACUGGGUGGAAUGUCAGCUGGUGCAAGGCAUUAGGAAAUUAUGUGGUUGUGUUAUUUGAUCACCAUGGCAACAAUGAUAAUUAAAAGAUUCAGAGAUGGGUUGGCUAUCUCUUUGUUGUAGAGCUUAUAAGAAAGAAAAAGUCAUGCCUAGUGCUUGAACUCUUAAACCAGAACAUGAAAGCAAUAUCAGAAAGUUUCUACGGAAGUUUUAAGGAAGAUUUUCUAACCUAGGGUACACAUUUAGAAUUCAUGUUUCUUAUGUUAUAUUUCUUAUGUAGGGCAUUUGUUGGGAAGAAAUGAAACACUGACAUUUGGGAUGGAACAUUUAGGAAGGCAUAGAUGAGGCUGAGAAUUUAGAAUUUCUGAUUGUCUUGAACCUGCUUUAAGAGUGAACGCAGCUCUCUUCCAUUGUCUGAAAAACCAGUUUUUCCUUGCAAAUAAACUUUUCAGUAACUUCUGUUCUCCUCAAGAUACUCCUCCCUCAUUCAACACCCCUUACCACCUUUAGGUCUUUAAAGAGAAUUAAAUACUAGCGUAACCCUGAGGGAAAACUGCAAGAUUGACUCUGGGAGGAGAUCAUUUUACCAAUUUGUAUAAGCAAGAAUCUGGCAGGCAUGAAUUAGGUUGAAUUCUAAAGAGAUUACAGUUAAGGGGAAUGAACUGUAAAACUGAAUUAGGACAGUGGUUUUCAAAGUGUGGUCAUUGGGCCAAGCCAGCAUCAAUUGUCACCUGAGAACCUGUUAGAAAUGCAAAUUCCCCAGUCUUAUCCUAGACCUACUGAAUCAGAAACUCUAAGGUAUGGGACCCAGAAAUCUGUUUUAACAAAUCCCCUAGGUGAUUCUACUACAGGUUAAAGUUUGAGAACCACUGGAAUAUGCUAAAUGUAUAUAUGUGGCCUCUACUAGGAUUUGAGGUUUAGUAUUUUAGCUAGGACACUUGGGAGUGAGUCUAAUGGUUAGCUGGUUAAUGAAAGCCUGGACUUAACCGUUGCUCAUGGUCAAUGAGGUUAAGAUUACAGGUCUACCCUGACAAAAUGUAGAAAAUGAAGUUUGAUGCCUUAGAGACAUGAGAACAGAUUUAAAACGUGCAAUUUGCUUUACCAUCCUCUUACCUUCCGUACCCCCAGAACACCCUGAGGAAACUUCUUUCAUUCAAAACAUAUUAAAAUGCACUGGUGAGAGUAACAGCCACAUCCGUGAAAACCUCUGUGGUGGCUGUCCCUAGCAGCUGAUGAUGGACAUGGGUGAUGUUGCCAUGAAAACGACACCCUGAUUUGAAUAGAAAAAAAAAAAAAGGGAUCCCAGAGUAGUAGGGCCAAGUGUCCGUUCUUAACUGUGAGUCAAUGUGGCACAAUUAUCCUAAAAGGAUAUAGUUUCCAGAGUUGCAAUCAGAGUGUUUUGACUCACAUGGACAUGUGCCCAUAACUAAGUGAUCAUAAGGUCACUGGGAAUUGAAUAGAUGGGCAACCUUCUAAGGUGUUUCUUGACUUGUUACAAAAUAAAAAGUGACUUAGGUUGUCAUAGUGAGAAUUCUUAGCCUCAUACCCAUCUUCCAGACUUAAGCCAAGUCACAGAUUUAAAGCCCUUUUAAUUAAGGAACAAGCCAGGUUCUUUUGAGGAAGAACGUGGCCUGCAAUAUGGCCAUAAAUGAGCUCCAUGGGUUUUCCAAAUAAAGCUACCAAGUCACUUACCAGGAUACUUUUUCUGGGGGAGAGAAAUUUUCAGGUCUUCUGGAGAUUUUUAGAUACUGCCUCUGAGAUAAUGCUAGGUCUUAGGAUGUAAAACACCAUCAUGUUCCAGUAGUCAGAGCAUGGACUUAUGGAGAUCAAUGGAUAAAAAAAGGCCUGACUCCAUUCUGCCUGAAAGUGGCUCCAAUAAGUCUGCUGACCCCCUGUGGUUAUUUGCACAAUUUCUGAGUCUAUUUUAAAAUAGUUUUUUUUUUUUUUCUUCAGCUGAGGCACCAGCUUAGAAACACUGGUGAAUUUAGGUUGCUGUAGAGUGCUUUCAACUAACGGGAGACAUAUAUUGCCAUCCUUCCAUAGCCAGAAUCUAGAGGUUGAGGAACCAAAGGGUGGAGGUGGGAGCUACCUCUUUCACUAUUAUAUAUUUCACUUAAAGGUUCAGAAGUUUUAGAAGUCCUAAUUCCCAAGGUAGGACAAUUUCUGCCAGGAAACAUAGUUGCUGUUUCAUUACCUUAGAAGCUGAGACUAUCCUUUGGCCAUUUUGGGCUUCUCAUGCUGAAGAACCAACAGGAAGACCUUACUCUACUGAAUGAGGUAAUUGGAUCCAGUUGCCACGGGGAAAUUGGGUCACUGUGAUACAGUAGGGGCAAGAAGAGUAUGGCGGAACUAAGAGGUUUCACUGAAGAACCUCUUACUAUUCUAUAAGAAUAGUCAAUGGAAAUUGGAAUUCAAUAAAGACAGCACUACUAAAGAUUUUAAAUCAUGGGAAUAAAGGUUUGGGUCACCCUACCAAGGAAGGAACCCCAAUCAGCAAAAAUACAGGGUAAAACAAGUGAUGGAUAUCAUUUUAGGUCUCAUGAUCAGUUAUAGAAUCAGGUAUUAUAGUGGCUGUAUCUUAUGUUAAUUUAUGUUUUCUUUUUCCUCUUUGCUACUGAAUAUGAAAAGUUCUGAUGGAAGGUAAAUUAUAAUUUAAGUUUUAGAAAAGGGCAUGAAUGAACUGAAAUUAUCCCAUGAUUACAGAAUAGUUGAUGGGAUUUAGUAUCACUUUUGUGUGGAGAGCAAGAGUUGCUUCAUAAAAGGGCAGAAAUACAUGCUGGGAGGCAAAGGGCAAACUGUGCUGGUUGCUUUCUGACUUUUCUCCCUUCCCGUGUAUCAAUUAGCUAUUGCUGCAUAACAAAUUACUUCCACAUUUGAUACCUUAAAACAAUAAUUCUUUAUUAUCUCACAAUUUCAGUGGGGCAGAAACCUAGACAUAGCUUAGCUACAUCCUCUGGCUCAGGAUCUUUCAGAGGGCUGAAGACUCAUGCAAAGACUUGACUAGUGAGAGAUUCACUUCCAAGCUCACUCGCAUGAAUAUUGCCAGGAUUCAGUUCCUCAUGGCAUUGUUGGGCUGAAGACCUCAGCAACUUGCUAGGCUUGAGGCUUAUCUCAUUUCCUUGCCAUGUAGGACUCUCCAUAGGGAAGUUUGUACCCUGGCAAUUGGCUUCCCAUAGAAUGAGCAAGUGAGACAGCAAGAGAAUAUCCAAGAUGGAAGCUGAAGCUAGGAGCCAGGAUGGAACCAUAUCAUGGAAGUGACGUUCUAACACUUCUGUCAUAUUCUUUUCAUCAGAAGUUUGUGACUAUGUCCAUCCCACUUUUAAGGGGAGGAUAUUACACAAGGGAAUGAAUACCAGAAGGCAGGGAUCAUUGGGAGCUACCUUAGGUGCUACUUCUCAUAACCCCAAUUCAUUCUCUGCCUUUAUUUGGAUCUUAGUUGGACUGCACCAGUCAGGUUCUUGCCCUCUGGCUUUCUGUUGGGUUUUGCCAAUAAGAGUUCUAGCAGGAGAAUAAAAGAUGAAAGAGAAGUCAGAAUAUUUCUUUCCCUGCUUUCUGCCUUCAUGCUGUGUGUCUGGCUGUACUUUUCUGCCUUAUGGCCCUGCUUCCCUGGCUCUAGCCCUCCCUGAAUACUGGUAACACCAUUUCCUUGCCUGGGAGGUUUAGGCCUGGGGACAUUUUAGGCUUCCCAUAUUUGCCUGUGUCUGGACACCUCAGUAUCCCUUGCUGAUUCUUCACUUCUGCACACACCUCUAUAAAUGAUCUUUCCAUUGAAUUAAAAAAAAUGUUUAUUUAUUUACUUUUGAGAGAGAGAGAAAGAGAGUGCAUGCAUGAACGGGGAAGGGGCAGAGAGUGAGAAUCCUAAGUAGGCUCCAUGUUGUCCGUACAGAGUCCAGUGCAGGGCCUGAUCCUACAAACUGUGAGAUCAGAACCUGAGCCAAAAUCAAGAGUCAGACGCUUAACUGACUGAGCCACCCAGGUGUUUCCCUGCUAGCAUCUUGAAUGAUACGUAUCUCUUAAGGGAAGAGAUUAUAUAUUGAUAUUUUUUUGGUCCUUGUGUUUAACAUGGUAGGCACUUAGUCAAUGUUGGAUGAUUAAGUAGAUGGAUGGACAGAUGAACCUAGUUUGAGUGUUAUGAAAGAAAGGAAAGAGAAAAUAUUUUUAAUUAUAUGAAAAUUCUUCACUGAUGCAGAAUAGGCCUUGUAUGUUUCAUCUGAGACCAUAAGGAAAAAAAGAAUUAAGUGAUCUCUAAAGAGAAAUGGCAA